AGAGUUUGAUCCUGGCUCAGGACGAACGCUGGCGGCGUGCCUAACACAUGCAAGUCGAACGAGAAUCAGUGGAACGGAGAUUCGUCGAAGGGAAGCUGAGGACAGUGGCGAACGGGUGAGUAACGCGUGAGGAACCUGCCUUUCAGAGGGGGAUAACGUUUGGAAACGAACGCUAAUACCGCAUAAUGUUACGGGACUGCAUGGUCUUGUAACCAAAGGAGCAAUCCGCUGAUAGAUGGCCUCGCGUCUGAUUAGAUAGUUGGUGAGGUAACGGCCCACCAAGUCGACGAUCAGUAGCCGGACUGAGAGGUUGAACGGCCACAUUGGGACUGAGACACGGCCCAGACUCCUACGGGAGGCAGCAGUGAGGGAUAUUGCACAAUGGGGGAAACCCUGAUGCAGCAAUGCCGCGUGAAGGAUGACGGUUUUCGGAUUGUAAACUUCUGUUCCAGAUCAUGAAAAAAAUGACUAAUCUGGCAGCAAGCCACGGCUAACUACGUGCCAGCAGCCGCGGUAAUACGUAGGGGGCGAGCGUUAUCCGGAAUUAUUGGGCGUAAAGAGUGCGUAGGUGGUUACCUAAGCGCAGGGUCUAAGGCAAUGGCUCAACCAUUGUUCGCCCUGCGAACUGGGCUACUUGAGUGCAGGAGAGGAAAGCGGAAUUCCUAGUGUAGCGGUGAAAUGCGUAGAUAUUAGGAGGAACACCAGUGGCGAGGGCGGCUUUCUGGACUGUUACUGACACUGAGGCACGAAAGCGUGGGGAGCAAAAAAAAUUAGAUACCCUGGUAGUCCACGCCGUAAACGAUGAGCACUAGGUGUCGGGGGCCGCAAGGCUUCGGUGCCGCAGUUUAACGCAUUAAGUGCUCCGCCUGGGGAGUACGCACGCAAGUGUGAAACUCAAAGGAAUUGACGGGGACCCGCACAAGCAGCGGAGCAUGUGGUUUAAUUCGAAGCAACGCGAAGAACCUUACCAGGACUUGACAUCCCACUGACAGAUCCCUAACCGGAUCCUUCUUCGGACAGUGGAGACAGGUGGUGCAUGGUUGUCGUCAGCUCGUGUCGUGAGAUGUUGGGUUAAGUCCCGCAACGAGCGCAACCCUUGCCAUUAGUUGCCAUCAUUCAGUUGGGCACUCUAAUGGGACUGCCGGGGACAACUCGGAGGAAGGUGGGGAUGACGUCAAAUCAUCAUGCCCCUUAUGUUGUGGGCUACACACGUGCUACAAUGGCCGGUACAACAAGAAGCAAAACCGCGAGGUGGAGCAAAUCUCAAAAACCGGUCCCAGUUCGGACUGCAGGCUGAAACCCGCCUGCACGAAGCCGGAGUUGCUAGUAAUCGUGGAUCAGAAUGCCACGGUGAAUGCGUUCCCGGGUCUUGCACACACCGCCCGUCA
rnacentral:rRNA from 1 species